UACGGAGGGGGCUAGCGUUGUUCGGAAUUACUGGGCGUAAAGCGCACGUAGGCGGCUUUGUAAGUUAGAGGUGAAAGCCCGGAGCUUAACUCCGGAACUGCCUUUAAGACUGCAUCGCUCGAAUCAUGGAGAGGUCAGUGGAAUUCCGAGUGUAGAGGUGAAAUUCGUAGAUAUUCGGAAGAACACCAGUGGCGAAGGCGACUUACUGGACACAUAUUGACGCUGAGGUGCGAAAGCGUGGGGAGCAAACAGG
rnacentral:rRNA from 1 species